rnacentral:rRNA from 1 species
AACGCGAAGAACCUUACCCAGGCUUGACAUGUAGUUGAAUGGCUGUGAAAGCAGUCAGGCCCGCAAGGGACAAUUACACAGGUGCUGCAUGGCUGUCGUCAGCUCGUGCUGUGAAGUGUUGGGUUAAGUCCCGCAACGAGCGCAACCUUUAUUCUUAGUUGGCAUCGCGUCAUGGCGGCCACUCUAGGGAGACUGCCGGUGAUAAACUGGAGGAAGGAGGAGACGACGUCAAGUCAGUAUGGCCCUUAUGCCUGGGGCUACACACGUGCUACAAUGGCCGCCACAAUGGGCAGCAAACCCGCGAGGGGGAGCAAAUCCCAAAAAAACGGCCCCAGUUCAGAUUGCAGGCUGCAACUCGCCUGCAUGAAGUCGGAAUCGCUAGUAACGGUAGAUCAGCUACGCUACCGUGAAUACGUUCCCGGGUCUGACCACCAAG